rnacentral:rRNA from 1 species
GACGAACGCUGGCGGCGUGCCUAAUACAUGCAAGUCGAGCGGUCCCUUCGGGGAUAGCGGCGGACGGGUGAGUAACACGUAGGCAACCUGCCUGUAAGAUCGGGAUAACUAUCGGAAACGAUAGCUAAGACCGGAUAACUGGUUUUCUCGCAUGGGAGAAUCAUGAAACACGGAGCAAUCUGUGGCUUAUAGAUGGGCCUGCGGCGCAUUAGCUAGUUGGUAGGGUAACGGCCUACCAAGGCGACGAUGCGUAGCCGACCUGAGAGGGUGAACGGCCACACUGGGACUGAGACACGGCCCAGACUCCUACGGGAGGCAGCAGUAGGGAAUCUUCCGCAAUGGACGCAAGUCUGACGGAGCAACGCCGCGUGAGUGAUGAAGGUUUUCGGAUCGUAAAGCUCUGUUGCCCUAGACGAACAGCAGGGAGAGUAACUGCUCUCUGUGUGACGGUAUAGGAGAAGAAAGCCCCGGCUAACUACGUGCCAGCCGCCGCAGUAAAAC